AGAAGAAACAGGUUAAAGAAUUAGAUGUGGUCCUCACAGGGAAUAUUUGCCCCUGGCCGCAGAUACAAAGGAUGCAUUUCAAGCUCUCCCAAGAACUCUUGCAGUGCUCCAUCCCUGUGUCCUCAGAAAUGGCCCUGAGUCUCAGCAGCUCAAAAAGACUCCAGUUGGAUAGUGAGAAGCCACUGCUUCCUUGCAAGAACCUUCCCAAAUUUCUCUAAUUUCUGGGAGAAUAACAAAAAGAAGGAAGAUUCAGUAGGAAAGGAAAGCAAUGAAGAAGCCAAGAAAGAGACAAGGAACCCCGGAAAGAGAGUCAGCAAAGAGAGAAAUAGAAACAUUAAUUUCAGAGGAGUUGGAAGUGUUGUGAACUAUUAAUCCUUUAGCUUUGCUUUGGACUUGAUAGCAAAAGUAGCUGCAUGCAGAAGUAAAAUUGUUAAGAAUGUCACAUAAAAUGUGAGGGUGAGCUCAGCAUGAAGGAACAGCCUCUUCCAUUGGUGAGGUGAAGAAACUGAAGACUUUAGCCAGAGCCAAGUGGCUAAUUCAGAGUUUAAUACACCUUUGACCUCAAACCCUUUGUGGUCACCUUUGAACAGUGCCUCCCUCUCUGAAAUAAAAUACUGGUUCUGUCAUUAAUUAUUAA
rnacentral:lncRNA from 10 species